rnacentral:rRNA from 1 species
AACGAACGCUGGCGGCAUGCCUAACACAUGCAAGUCGAACGAAACCUUCGGGGUGAGUGGCGCACGGGUGCGUAACAUGUGGGAACCUGCCCUUAGGUUCGGAAUAACAGUUAGAAAUGACUGCUAAUACCGGAUAAUGUCUUCGGACCAAAGAUUUAUCGCCUUUGGAUGGGCCCGCGUAGGAUUAGCUAGUUGGUGAGGUAAAGGCUCACCAAGGCGACGAUCCUUAGCUGGUCUUAGAGGAUGAUCAGCCACACUGGGACUGAGACACGGCCCAGACUCCUACGGGAGGCAGCAGUGGGGAAUAUUGGACAAUGGGCGAAAGCCUGAUCCAGCAAUGCCGCGUGAGUGAUGAAGGCCUUAGGGUUGUAAAGCUCUUUUACCUGGGAUGAUAAUGACAGUACCAGGAGAAUAAGCCCCGGCUAACUCCGUGCCAGCCGCCGCAGUAAGAC